rnacentral:lncRNA from 1 species
UACUAAAAUGCAACUUGUCAAAUAUAGUUCUAUAGUUGUAUUUAAAGAAAAACACUUGUUUGGCAAUAUGGAAAACACUUGUACCAACUUGCAGUAUCCUUAAGUGUUCUUAGUUAUUUCAGAAAUGGUUUCACUAUCAAAAAUGCUCAUUUUAUUUCUGUCUUGGUUCACCUCAUCUGAAUCCUAUACAUUCUGAUAUGAUUCAAUACAUGUAUAUAUCAACCAAACAGCUUUUGGUAGUAUUUUGUGACUUCAACCCAGUCAUUUGGUUAACUUAGUCACUCAGAAGAAUUUUGCAUUUGUCCCCAGAUUUGGCAAAAACAAAAUUAAUGUGAUUUAAAUAAUCACAUCUUUCAAAACAAUAUUGAAUCAAAAUUCA